UGGGGAAUUUUGGACAAUGGGCGAAAGCCUGAUCCAGCAAUGCCGCGUGUGUGAAGAAGGCCUUCGGGUUGUAAAGCACUUUUGNCCGGAAAGAAAUCCUUGGCUCUAAUACAGUCGGGGGAUGACGGUACCGGAAGAAUAAGCACCGGCUAACUACGUGCCAGCAGCCGCGGUAAUACGUAGGGUGCAAGCGUUAAUCGGAAUUACUGGGCGUAAAGCGUGCGCAGGCGGUUUGCUAAGACCGAUGUGAAAUCCCCGGGCUCAACCUGGGAACUGCAUUGGUGACUGGCAGGCUAGAGUAUGGCAGAGGGGGGUAGAAUUCCACGUGUAGCAGUGAAAUGCGUAGAGAUGUGGAGGAAUACCGAUGGCGAAGGCAGCCCCCCUGGGCCAAUACUGACGCUCAUGCACGAAAGCGUGGGGAGCAAAGCAGGAUUAGAUACCCUGGUAGUCCACGCCCUAAAACGAUGUCAACUAGUUGUUGGGGAUUCAUUUCCUUAGUAACGUAGCUAACGCGUGAAGUUGACCGCCUGGGGGAGUACGGUCGCAAGAUU
rnacentral:rRNA from 1 species